GUCGUAGUCCGGAUUGGAGUCUGCAACUCGACUCCAUGAAGUCGGAAUCGCUAGUAAUCGUGGAUCAGAAUGCCACGGUGAAUACGUUCCCGGGCCUUGUACACACCGCCCGUCACACCAUGGGAGUGGGUUGCAAAAGAAGUAGGUAGCUUAACCUUCGGGAGGGCGCUUACCACUUUGUGAUUCAUGACUGGGGUGAAGUCGUAACAAGGUAACCGUAGGGGAACCUGCGGUUGGAUCACCUCCUUACCU
rnacentral:rRNA from 1 species